rnacentral:rRNA from 1 species
UUGAGGUGAAUUCGGUGAUCCUAAGCUGCCGAGAAAAGCCUCUAGCGAGUGCGCACACGGCCCGUACCCGAAACCAACACAGGUGGUCAGGUAGAGAAUACCAAGGCGUACGAGACAACUAUGGUUAAGGAACUCGGCAAAAUACCCCCGUAACUUCGGGAGAAGGGGGACCCCGCACCGUCAACACCCUUGCGGUGGGCAGCGGUGGGGGGUGGCACAAACCAGUGAGAAGCGACUGUUUACUAAAAACACAGGUCCGUGCGAAGUCGCAAGACGAGGUAUACGGACUGACGCCUGCCCGGUGCUGGAAGGUUAAGAGGACCCGUCAACCCCUUCGAGGGGUGAAGCGGAGAAUUUAAGCCCCAGUAAACGGCGGUGGUAACUAUAACCAUCCUAAGGUAGCGAAAUUCCUUGUCGGGUAAGUUCCGACCUGCACGAAUGGCGUAACGACUUCUCAACUGUCUCAACCAUAGACUCGGCGAAAUUGCACUACGAGUAAAGAUGCUCGUUACGCGCGGCAGGACGAAAAGACCCCGGGACCUUCACUACAACUUGGUAUUGGUGCUCGAUACGGUUUGUGUAGGAUAGGUGGGAGACGCCGAAGCCAAUACGCCAGUAUUGGUGGAGUCAUUGUUGAAAUACCACUCUGAUCGUAUUGGGCCUCUAACCUCGAACCGUCUAUCCGGUUCAGGGACAGUGCCUGGCGGGUAGUUUAACUGGGGCGGUUGCCUCCCAAAAAGUAACGGAGGCGCCCAAAGGUUCCCUCAACCUGGACGGCAAUCAGGUGGUGAGUGUAAGUGCACAAGGGAGCUCGACUGCAAGACCUACACGUCAAGCAGGGACGAAAGUCGGGACUAGUGAUCCGGCACCCCCGAGUGGAAGGGGUGUCGCUCAACGGAUAAAAGGUACCCCGGGGAUAACAGGCUGAUCUUCCCCAAGAGUCCAUAUCGACGGGAUGGUUUGGCACCUCGAUGUCGGCUCGUCGCAUCCUGGGGCUGGAGCAGGUCCCAAGGGUUGGGCUGUUCGCCCAUUAAAGCGGCACGCGAGCUGGGUUUAGAACGUCGUGAGACAGUUCGGUCUCUAUCCGCCGCGCGCGUCAGAAGCCUGAGGAAACCUGUCCCUAGUACGAGAGGACCGGGACGGACGAACCUCUGGUCCACCAGUUGUCCCACCAGGGGCACCGCUGGAUAGCCACGUUCGGACAGGAUAACCGCUGAAAGCAUCUAAGCGGGAAACCCCCUCCAAGACCAGGCUUCUCACCCAUCAAGUGGGAUAAGGCCCCCCGCAGACCACGGGAUCAAUAGACCAGACCUACACGCCCAGCAAUGGGUUCAGGGAACUGGCACUAACCGGCCGAAAACU